rnacentral:lncRNA from 1 species
UGGUUUUCGACAAUUUUUAGUAGUGAGUCCAAUGAAUUAGAUAAUUUCUGCUAAUUAAUAAAAUUUUCUUUAUUAACUAAAAAACAAUGAAAAGAUGAAUUAGUUUUCUAUCACAAAAAAAAUAAUGGACAAUAAUAUAAUUUCACAGAUUCAAAUUUUUUUAUUUUUUAUUGAAGCAUCAUAUAUAUGUGAUAUUAAAGUACCUCUAGUAUUAAAAAAACAAAAAUCUCUCACACCCCCACUUUCUCCCUCUCUCCCUCUCUUCUCAUUUUCUAAAAAAAUAAAAUAAACAAAUGUUAGUAUUAAUUAUACAAAUUAAUAAAAAAUAUAUAUAUAAUAUAAAAAUAAAUACGUUAAUAGUACUACUUUAAAAUUAUAUGACAAGCUGCAUCGAGAUUGAAAGGGAAAGGAAUAUUGUGAUUUCACCACGCCAUGGAGAGUAUGUUUUCUUUGCAUUAUUUUUGCCUUAUUUUAUUUUAUUAUUGUUCUUAAACAAUAAUAUUCAAAAACAAAAUAAUAAACAAACACUUUUAACUUUUAACACAUUUUUGUCUAAUUCUGAUCGGAAUUUCAUUUGGUUUAUUUCAUUUAAUGACAAAAUUAAAAAAAAAAAUGUAUGAAAAGCUAAAAAAUGUGCGAGAGUAUCACUUCCCUAUCCGAUGUUACCUUAUCAAAUAUACAUAUAAUGUUAUCACAUUGUGGAGGAGUGAAGUAGUAUGUUGGCUUUUAGAUUAAGAAUAGCUAAUAAUUUAGUAUUUAAUACGGUCUAGUGGUAUUCAUCUUUACUGGUAAGUAAGAGGUUUUAUGUUCAAGUAUCGCAAAAGAAUAGCUAAUAAUUUAGUAUUUAAUACGGUCUAGUGGUAUUCAUUUUUACUGGUAAGUAAGAGGUUUUAUGUUCAAGUAUCGCAAAGGUCAAUUUGAACCAUAUUAUUGGUAAUUCAUUGUGAGGCUAAGCUCACCCAUUCCCCUUAGUGUAGAUAAUAUCGAUGUUAAAAAAAUAAUUUAGUAUUUAAUGAUAUGUAUGUUGUAAACUUUCAUAAUUUAAGUAUGAUUGUAUAAAUCCUAGAUUAGAUUUGAUUCUAAUUAUUAUUUCCUAUUAUAACUUGUAUUCCUUGGGGAUGAAGAAUUUCUUCUCUCCCUUACUACUAUAAAUAAAGGCAAUACGUAGGAGGGAUAACAACACACAUUCCCCUACAAUUCUACAAACAUCUCUCUCUCUCUCAAUCUCUCUCCUUGCUGUCGGCCCCCUUCCCAUUGUCAGAUAAAAUAGGCUACAACACGUUAUCAACACGCUCCUAUCGCUGCGCUUCGGAAUUUAACGAGGAGAUUUUUUGCAUCAAAUCAGUCCAUUCAUAUCAUCACGCAAUUAGGUUAUUCCAAAAUAACGGUUUUAUCUCGAUAUUUUUACAGCCCUGAUAGCAUGAACAUUCAUCAUAAUGCAUGACCCAACUUAACUUUUUUCAAAUUUUAGAUUUUACAUAAAUUGUGUAUGCAUUAUAUUCAUAAUUGUUGAAUUAUGUGAAUUUGAUAUUGCCAUGAAUUGCAUCAAAUAUAUGUACAUGCAUAAAGUUAUUGAAUUGAAUACGCAUAUAAUUGAAUUUCAUAAUCUGAAAAAGAAAAAAAAAACUUUGAAAUCACCAUUUGGGUUCUUUGAACCCGUGACCCCGAGCAAACAUGGAGCAUCAACCUCAUUUGGAACCCAACUCG